rnacentral:rRNA from 1 species
UACGAAGGGGGCUAGCGUUGCUCGGAAUCACUGGGCGUAAAGGGUGCGUAGGCGGGUCUUUAAGUCAGGGGUGAAAUCCUGGAGCUCAACUCCAGAACUGCCUUUGAUACUGAAGAUCUUGAGUUCGGGAGAGGUGAGUGGAACUGCGAGUGUAGAGGUGAAAUUCGUAGAUAUUGGCAAGAACACCAGUGGCGAAGGCGGCUCACUGGCCCGAUACUGACGCUGAGGCACGAAAGCGUGGGGAGCAAACAGG